GAUUGGUUGGGGAAAGAGGCACCGUGGUGGGGUCGAAGCUGCGCGGCCUCGGCAGCUGGGGGAGACGGAAGUGGUGAGAGCGCGGCCUCGGAGGGUCGGGCGGACGCCGCCUGGUAAGAAGCAGACAGCCAGGACCCUCACCACAGUAGAAUGGGAACCCCUUACCUAACCCCGGAGAACUCGGAGGAGGAGGCAGUGAGAUGAAAAGAGAGCGGAGAGUUGCAGGCCCUUGCUCUGGCUGUAUCUUUUCAGUUUCUUCAAGUGUCCCCUGUGCAGGUUAAGGAAUUCAGUUGGUGAGAGGACCUCUCCUUCCCUCCGCAGGCAUGUGGGUAUGUGGUUCUGGUCUCUUCCUAGAAAGCCUGCUGGUCUUGGUCCCCACCCACUAAUAGCCCCCUUCCUUUUUUCUUCUGUGACUUUCCGAAAGGACCAUGGGCUUCAGAGUUAGCCGAGUCUAUUUUUGAAUCCUAGCACCACCAUUUAAAUAGCUUAGGUAACUCGCAUAUUUUCUUUCUAAGCCUGACCUCUCACCAGCAAAACAGGUUAAUUCUUGGAGAGUUGAAAGGUUUUAGUGAGGGGCGCCUGGGUGGCUCAGUCGUUAGGUGUCUGCUUUGGCUCAGGUCAUGU